rnacentral:misc_RNA from 1 species
UUAUCGUGACACAUCGUCACAGCAUGAUUAUAGAUCAUAUGACACUAGCCGGUCAAUGAUCAGUCCGUUUCGUGCACUUGAAAGAAGACGACUGCAUGAACACAUGCUUUCGUGCUGCCGAGAUCAACAGUAGGCGAAAAAGCCGAGGAUUGCGUCAAAGAAAAGCAGUAUUGGAGCAAGUCUGCCUUAAAUCCAAAUGGAGCUUGUGUUCGUUGUCCACCUUAUUGGCAGAAUUGCAAUAAAGAAGCGGGCGGCGAUAAAGACCGCUGUAUCAAAUCCUGUCGUGUCAAACCAAAAACCAAACCAAAAACCAAGCCAAACAAAAUGACUUCGACAACUCCUUCAUACAACGAUAUCCGUUCAACUACUACGUCAGUGCAGUCUCAACCACAACCGACUUCGACACGAAUACUUCAUUCAACUUCUAGUACAAUCUUGGCGUUUUCUUCACAAAUAUACCGAGGAAAACCGAACGACAAAUCUGGUCACGAUAAGCCGGGAAAGAUUAUUGCGAUCGCUGUUCCUCUCACUGUCGUAUUUCUUCUGGUCUUGUUUGCAGCUUUGGUGCGGCUGAUUCAAAGCCAUCGUAAACGAGCUGAAAAGGAACGAUUGCGUCGCGUGGGCAUUGAAGAAGAUGGCAGAUCUCAGAAUGCACUACCCAUUCAAGACACUCGUUUAGAUUUAAGGCGUGGCGGAACUCAAGAAACUGAAAAAGACGACAUGCAGGAUAUAAAAUAGAUCAUCCUAGGCCUAGCUGUGAAAAACAUUUUGAUAUCGAGUCAGAGUAUUUAAAAUUUUUCCGUAGUCGGCGCAAAGCUCUGUUAGAGGGUACUAAUUCUGUCCGGAGACUUAUUGCACCCUGGUAUAUGGUGAUUGCAAAGGUUGUUGACAUGAUGAUGUCAUGAACGUGGAAAGUAUAGGCCUUUUUGAAAUGAUAUUUUUAACCUCGAAUGAUUAGAAAAAGUACACAGAAAUUGAAAUUGACAGGAGAAUAUUGACUGGAAUAUAAGAUGUGAAAAAGUGCACGAUUUUGAAGCUUUUUAAAAGUGUUUUAAGCAGGUAUAUAUGGCUGAUUUCGUAUUUCGUGUUGUUGUAGUCUUGUUAUAUUCUUGUAUUUGAGCAAAUGAAGUUAACUUCUUUUUCAUUGACCUCGCAACUUAAGAAAUAUUAACUGGUGCAAAAUGAUUCUGCGAUCUAUAGGCGAAAUUAUUCUGCAUGAAUGUAUUUCCAGUUUGUUUGUGUGAGUAUUUAUUAUAGUAGCCGACGCAAAUAUGUUGUGUAUUAACGAUUUAAUCUUGAAU